AGCUAAGAAUACAUCUAAUUCUGUCUUGAAUUGGAUGAUUGACGACUUCUUCACACUGAAAAUUAAAUCUUGGGCGUUUGUGCUGUCUCCUCUGAAAACAUGCCAUCUCCUAUGCGCAGUCAAUAUCUUCUGUUGGAAAGUGGCAAGGAUAUUACCAGCGGCGUCAAGCAAAUAACGACGAUCACGGAUGCUUAAUAGUUUACUUUUCACCUUGAAAAUAAGGGUACCAUUAACGUCGGUGACGCCCAAAUUACAUUCUCCAAGAGCCAAA
rnacentral:misc_RNA from 1 species